GUGAGGAAUAUUGCGCAAUGGAGGCAACUCUGACGCAGCCAUGCCGCGUGCAGGAAGAAGGCGCUACGCGUUGUAAACUGCUUUUAACCGGGAAGAAACCCCAGGACGUGUCCUGGGUUGACGGUACCGGAGGAAUAAGCACCGGCUAACUUCGUGCCAGCAGCCGCGGUAAUACGAAGGGUGCAAGCGUUAUCCGGAUUCAUUGGGUUUAAAGGGUGCGUAGGCGGAGCGUUAAGUCAGUGGUGAAAUCCUGCAGCUUAACUGUAGACUUGCCAUUGAUACUGGCGCUCUUGAGUGCGCUUGAAGUGGGCGGAAUGUGCCGUGUAGCGGUGAAAUGCUUAGAUAUGGCACAGAACACCAAUUGCGAAGACAGCUCACUAAGGCGAUACUGACGCUGAGGCACGAAAGCGUGGGGAUCGAACAGGAUUAGAAACCCCGGUAGUCC
rnacentral:rRNA from 1 species